UCCGGUGGUUAUAGCAGAAAGGCAACACCCGUUCCCAUUCCGAACACGGCAGUUAAGCUUUCUCGCGCCGAUGGUACUACAUUGG
rnacentral:rRNA from 1 species